AGCCAGUGUGGUCUAGUGGUUAGAGUGUCAGGCCAGGAACUGGGAGACCAGGGUUUGAAUCCCUGCUUGGUCA